GCAAACAUCCGUCAUGCACCAGUCCGUGGUAGGAGCACAACCCAAGGGGCUGGGGCGGCAGCCAAGCGUGGGAACCUAGGUUAACAGGAAGACAUCUCCGUCUACCAGCAUGCUGAAGUGAGGGUGAAGAUGCAUAUGCUCUUACACUUCGGGAUAUACAUUCUCCACAUGCGCCAAGAAAACCUACAAGGAGGAAGGUGCUUCCAGAACAUUACUUCCAGACCCACCGUGGAGGCAAAUGGGGACUGACCGCCAGGCAUCUGCCUGAGGAGCUGCAGAUGCCAUCCCUGCGCAGAUAACAUCCCUGAUUCCACUUCAAAGAUUUGUCAUCUUUUUCAUGCCUUAAACUGAAAAUAGCAGAAUCAAUGCAAUUCCAACAAAAAUCCAGCAGUUUGGUGUGCUCCGACCAUAUGACAUUUUGGAAAAGGAAAAACUAUGAAGACAAAAAACCCUCAGUGGUGAGAUGGGGAAAUCAGGCAUUCUUAGCAUUCUUAGCUCCAUCGAAUGGCAUCAACUGUCUGGGAACGGAGAGCUGCUAACUUCUCUACAGAUCACUCAGCACAAUUCAGGUGGUGAACGGAGAGAGCUGUAGGGACGAUGACUUGUCAAUUCAGGCCAUGGAAUUAAUGACGCUUAUGAGGGUUCCCAUCUACUUGCUCACAGAGGACUCGGUUCGAAAGGUCCAUGGAGACCCACUUCAUGAGACGGGCCGGGAGGAGUGAUGUGCGUUCACUGGGUCAGAAUUUAGCAGUAAGUGGUUUGUUGGUUCUUCUUGAAGAGAAACCUAAUGGCAUUCGCCCAAGGCUUAUAGACAAAAGUUCAGGAAACUACAGAUCUGCACAAACAAGGAAACUGCAGGAGGAGGCGCCGAAUGCAGAGAAUCCUCUUCCUGCAUGAGGACUGGCCUGCAUGGCCUCCCACAUGCUGGCCCUCCCCUGUGGCCUGGGUGGUGAGUGACAGGACUCUGACCCACUCCGUCCCCCUGCAGUUCAGUUUCUCCCUAAUUACCAGCUGGCCAUUUAAAGAGCUAGUUUUCCAACAAGGCACAAUUGCACAUUGUUGUCUAACUUUUCUUGACCAAAUUAAUGGGGAGGCAUCAUGCAGAUCUCCUGUUUACUGAAGCCAUAAAGCCAUCUGGUCCUGUAGCCUGUCUCUGAGCUGGCUCCUGGCCCCAGCAUGGGCUUAGUGUCUUCCGUCCUCACCAGCACAGCUGCCCAGCUGCUGCCGACAGCACACAGCAUCAAGUGUCUUUUUUCCCACAUCCUUGCUUCGUUUUCCUUUGUUCCAGUUUCUGUGGGAUCACCUCAUGUGCAGCCCAUACAAGGCAGUCCAUUUCCAAAUGUCCUGUAGAUUUCUCCCAAAAACCUUGCAAGUAUUUCCAGCCUUAACCCAGCACUCCUAAGUGUCUCAGAGACAGAAGGUGCAUUGGAGGAAGCUGCAAGGACACCCUCGGUGACCCGGCAUAAGGGUGCGACCAGCACUUUCAGGGCGCCGGGCAUGUGCCCCACAAACUCCACCUCCAUGUGGGGAGCUGCAGGCGUUCAAGUCCGGAUCUGGCACCCCCCCAGAGUCAUGGAUUUCAAAUCACAGAUAUUAGGAAAAAUGAGACUGUUGCCAUUGAGUAACUUGAUAAGUAUAUACAAUUGUCAUGAUAACUAUACAGAGUUAUAUUCUUUAAUAUAAGAAUAUAUUAUGAUGUUAUAAGUUUAGAUAUUUCCUCAAACACUUUGGUGUUCUUUAGCAUAACACCAACCUCCAAAUUCUAGCAAUUUCUGCUCAUACUUAGUCAGUGGAAGUGUAUGUCUGCACCUACACUCUCUCCAAACUCAGUCAUGGCAGCUAAACCCUUGUGGCAUAGCAGCAGGAUUAUGACCUUUCUUAGCCCCGAAAUACCCUCAAGGGCAAGUGUCAAGGGGCACUGCAGGUGCGCAGCACUGAUCUCACCGUCUACAUGACUCUGAGCUGGAAGCAAAAUGAAUGUCUCUGGUUCUGGUGCUUUGGGCCAGUAAAGAAACGCAUGCUACAGUAUUUAUUUUAUAUGACACUUUAAAUGAUUCCAGCACUUAAGGACGUUAAGACCACUGUAAACCAUGCCACCUUCACGACAUUGUGCAAACGCUGCUGGGAUUAGUUGAAACUUC